CAAUAGCGUAUAUUUAAGUUGUUGCAGUUAAAAAGCUCGUAGUUGGAUUUCGGAUGGGACUUGCCGGUCCGUCGUUUCGAUGUGCACUGGCCAGUCCUAUCUUGUUGUCGGGGACUAGCUCCUGGGCUUCACUGUCCGGGACUAGGAGCUGACGAGGUUACUUUGAGUAAAUUAGAGUGUUCAAAGCAAGCCUACGCUCUGAAUACAUUAGCAUGGAAUAAUACGAUAGGACUCUGGCUUAUCUUGUUGGUCUGUGAGACCAGAGUAAUGAUUAAGAGGGACAGUCGGGGGCAUUCGUAUUUCAUUGUCAGAGGUGAAAUUCUUGGAUUUAUGAAAGACGAACUUCUGCGAAAGCAUUUGUCAAGGAUGUUUUCAUUAA
rnacentral:rRNA from 1 species